GAUGAACGCUGGCGGCGUGCCUAAUACAUGCAAGUCGAGCGAACGGACGAGAAGCUUGCGUCUCUGAUGUUAGCGGCGGACGGGUGAGUAACACGUGGAUAACCUACCUAUAAGACUGGGAUAACUUCGGGAAACCGGAGCUAAUACCGGAUAAUAUUUUGAACCGCAUGGUUCAAAAGUGAAAGACGGUCUUGCUGUCACUUAUAGAUGGAUCCGCGCUGCAUUAGCUAGUUGGUAAGGUAACGGCUUACCAAGGCAACGAUGCAUAGCCGACCUGAGAGGGUGAUCGGCCACACUGGAACUGAGACACGGUCCAGACUCCUACGGGAGGCAGCAGUAGGGAAUCUUCCGCAAUGGGCGAAAGCCUGACGGAGCAACGCCGCGUGAGUGAUGAAGGUCUUCGGAUCGUAAAACUCUGUUAUUAGGGAAGAACAUAUGUGUAAGUAACUGUGCACAUCUUGACGGUACCUAAUCAGAAAGCCACGGCUAACUACGUG
rnacentral:rRNA from 1 species